rnacentral:tRNA from 1 species
GGCCAGUUAGCUCAGUCGGUUAGAGCGUGGUGCUGAUGAUACCAAGGUCGCGGAUUCGAUCCCCAUUUGGUCC